CCUACGGGGGGCAGCAGUGAGGAAUAUUGGUCAAUGGGCGGAAGCCUGAACCAGCCAAGUAGCGUGCAGGAUGACGGCCCUACGGGUUGUAAACUGCUUUUAUACGGGAAUAACGCGCCUUACGUGUAGGGCUUUGCAUGUACCGUAUGAAUAAGGACCGGCUAAUUCCGUGCCAGCAGCCGCGGUAAUACGGAAGGUCCGGGCGUUAUCCGGAUUUAUUGGGGUUAAAGGGAGCGUAGGCCGAGUGUCAAGCGUGCUGUGAAAUGUUCGGGCUCAACCCGGGCCUUGCAGCGCGAACUGGGGUGCUUGAGUGCGCGGAAAGCAGGCGGAAUUCGUCGUGUAGCGGUGAAAUGCUUAGAUAUGACGAAGAACCCCGAUUGCGAAGGCAGCUUGCUGCAGCGGAACUGACGCUGAUGCUCGAAAGCGCGGGUAUCGAACAGGAUUAGAUACCCGGGUAGUC
rnacentral:rRNA from 1 species